GAACGCACAUUGCACUCCUUUGGAGUAUGCCUGUUUGAGAAUCUAUAGUAUUUAUUUCUGGGUUACUUUUAUUAGUCCUCUGAAGAUUUGAGAUGUCUCCCCGCAAGGGCGAGUAUCUUUAAAAUUAUAGCCUCUUUUGUGGUAAAUUAACUCUGCAGAACAGUAUUUGAAUGGAACCUUGGUUUCUCAUAAUGCCCAAUACGCAGACUUACCUAUUGAAAAGGGGGUCCAUAACCUAAAGUCUGGCGUUAAAACCAGACUUGAACCAUGGUCUCAAAUCAGGUAGGAAGACCCGCUGAACUUAAG
rnacentral:misc_RNA from 1 species